rnacentral:rRNA from 1 species
UACGGAGGGUGCAAGCGUUAAUCGGAAUUACUGGGCGUAAAGCGCGCGUAGGCGGCUCGAUCAGUCGGGUGUGAAAUCCCUGGGCUCAACCUGGGAACUGCAUUCGAUACUGUCGAGCUAGAGUGUGGGAGAGGGUAGUGGAAUUCCCGGUGUAGCGGUGAAAUGCGUAGAUAUCGGGAGGAACAUCAGGUGGCGAAGGCGACUGCCUGGCCCAACACUGACGCUGAGGUGCGAAAGCGUGGGUAGCAAACAGG